rnacentral:misc_RNA from 1 species
UACGGGGGGGGCAAGCGUUGUUCGGAAUUAUUGGGCGUAAAGGGCGCGUAGGCGGUGCGGCAAGUCUCCUGUGAAAUCUCCGGGCUCAACUCGGAGCCUGCAGGGGAAACUGCCGCGCUUGAGUGUGGGAGAGGUGAGUGGAAUUCUCGGUGUAGCGGUGAAAUGCGUAUAUAACGUGAGGAACACCUGGGGCGAAAGCGGCUCACUGGACCACAACUGACGCUGAGGCGCGAAAGCGUGGGUAGCAAACAGG